ACCCUAAGACGUACACAAAAUACCACAGUAAAGAGAAGUUGUUCCAUAAUGUGUGCUAUAAUGAUGGUGGUGGUGGUAGUGGUGGUAGUAGUGGUAGUAGUAAUGGUAGUGUUAGUGUUAGUGGUAGUGGUAGUGGUAGUAGUACACUGUUAGAUGUCGCUGUAGAUUUAGCAGCACUGUACUGUAAAAAUCCACAGUACUAUACUGUAUGUGUACAUUACAGUAAAGUACUGCAGUUCAUAGUGCAUUCUGGGUAAAUUUGUUUGAGCGGGAAAAUUUUACAGUAUAUUUUGGUCUUGAUGUAACCUUGCUGUAGCCAUUGCUGUAAUGUGCCAGGUGUACUUGCAAUAAUCAGAGAAAGUGCGCACGAGUCAAAUCACACAGAGGGAGAGAGAGCACAACUCCUGGCUGCAGCUGAAGAAGGAGGACGAUUGAUUUCUGUCAGUUCGCUCUAACGUUACAGUUUGCUCCACUUUGCUCUGUGGUUUAUAUGUUUUCUUCUUACCAUUGCUUGUAAGCUGGAUUGAGUAAGAUAGAUCAUCUUUAAAGGAACCAGG